UUAUCCCAAUUCAUCAUCGCUUUUCUUCCAUCUUCAAGCAUUCAAACGACACAAGCUUUUGAUAUAACCUUUGGCAACCUCACGGAGCGAAGUCCAUUAUAAAACCUUAAAAUUAAAAUCAACACAAUUUCUCGACUUUUCUUGCUUCCGUAAAUGGCGACGCGCUACAGAUCGUACGAUUCACGCUCCUCCACUUCCUCUCACUUCUCCGAUCCCUCGUCAUCUGUAGACCUUAACAGCUCUGCUUCUUCGCGGAGGCCAAAAUCGUCUUCUUCCUCUCGAGCGAUUGUGAAAUCGAAGCCAUUGGAUGCAGCCCAAAGCAGCCGCAGCAGGAACCAGGCGGCGGAUCUUCACUUCACAACCAUGGUGAAGAAGUUUAUGGACAAGAAAUUGGCAAAUAAAACAACGGGACAGCUGAUGAUUCCAUCGGAUGUGGUAGCUGAGGGUCUCAAGAAGACGGCGAGGAAAGGCACUGCUUUCACGGCGUUGCAGAGGAAGCUGUUCGGUAAAGGAUCUUCCGCUAAGGAUAACAAAAAGGAGGUAAAAGGCUUGACGGAGGUGAAGGGGAAUACGAGGACAUUGGCCAUGGUUUUAAGAAGUGAGAGGGAGCUAUUGAAUGCCAACAAAGAGCUCGAGAUGGAGGUUUCCGAGUUCAAGCUUCUGCUUCAAGGCAAGAACAGAGAGGUGGAGAAGCUGAAAGAUUUGUGCUUGAAACAGAGAGAAGAGAUUAAAUCCUUGAAGAAUGCAAUAUUGUUUCCAGAUGCCAUGAAUUGUCGACUUCAAGACCUAGUUGAAAAGCAAGGUUCGGAGCUGGCGCAAGCCAAACAACUAAUACCUACUCUCCAAAGACAGGUCACUUCUCUUACAGGACAACUUCAAUGCCUUGCCCAGGAUCUUGCUCAGGUGAAGGCAGAAAAGUAUUCUUCCAAAGCAUGUAACCAGCAGCAUGGCAGCGAUGAUGGAGAUGAGCUUUUUGAUUCUUUGUUCUGGAAACCCAACAACUCCUGGAAGUCCAGAUGACUUGUUCCUCGAAGAUUUAAAUCCCUGUUUAACACCUUAUUAUGCCAAGUCAAAACCCAAGGAAUUUGACGAGAUUCGAUACGACUCGUCGCAUAAUGAAACCUUGUCUGACGAAAAAUGGCAAGCAUUCAAUUAGCUCGGAUUUAGUUCUCGUAGCAAGAAGGUAUCGAAAAGUUCAGAUCGUUGCAGGGAUUCCAAUAAUGGAAGCUCAAUGCCUUGAAUCAGUCGCAGAUCAAAUGAAAUCAAAGGAUCAUACUGCAAGCAAAUACCAUCAUAAGCCUUUCUCAAUUGCUUGGUAUGUAUCAUUCUUGUUAGCUCCAGGUGUUAAAUGGAAUUAAUGCUUUAAGUGCAUUAAUAAUUAAGGGUUUAUAUUUAUUACUUUGUGGUUGUGGUGGGCUACUCCUGCAAGUAAUUUGAUGACAAUAAUGUAGUACUAGUAACUUUCGUUUCAAUAUUUAUAGCACAAGGCAUUUUGACCCCAGAAAA